CUACGGAUGCACGGAGCCGAAGCGAAAGCGAGUCUUAAUAGGGCGUUUAGUCAGUGGUUGUAGACGCGAAACCUUGCGAUCUACCCUUGAGCAGGUUGAAGGUUGGGUAAAACCAACUGGAGGACCGAACGAAUAAGCGUUGAAAAGCUUCUCGAUGACUUGAGGGUAGGGGUGAAAGGCUAAUCAAGCUGGGAAAUAGCUCGUACUCCCCGAAAUGCCUUUUGGGGCAGCGUUGUAAUAAAGAGUCUACUGGAGGUAGAGCUACUGAUUGGAUGCGGGGGCUUCACCGCCUACCAAAUCCUGACAAACUCCGAAUGCCAGUAGUAUGAUUUACAGCAGUGAGUGACUGGGUGCUAAUGUCCAGUCGCAAAAGAGGAACAACUCAGACCAGCAACUAAGGUCCCGAAGAAUAUGCUAAGUUGAUCUAACGAUGUUUUGUUGCAGAGACAGCUAGGAUGUUAGCUUGGAAGCAGCUAUUCAUUCAAAGAGUGCGUAACAGCUCACUAGUCGAGCGACAGAGCGUGGAUAAUAAACGGGCAUCAAGCAUAUCACCGAAGUUCUGGGCGCGAGAGCGCGGUAGGGGAGCAUUCCAUUCAGCGUCGAAGCAGUUUCGUGAGGAAUUGUGGAGCGUAUGGAAAAGCAAAUGUAGGCAUGAGUAACGAUAAUGCGGGAGAGUAACCCGCACACCGCAAGACCAAGGUUUCCUGAUCAACGCUAAUCGGAUCAGGGUUAGUCGGGUCCUAAGGGUAAGCCGAACGGCGAUCUCGAUGGAUAAUCGGUUAAUAUUCCGAUACUAACAUAUACCUCGAUGGAGAGACGAAGGAACGUAAGUGCCGCCACCUGACGGAAUAGGUGGUUAAAGGGCGUAGGUAUAGGGGCAGAUUAAGAGUUAGUCCUUGCUGAAACCUGACAGUACAGAGAGCCUACGGGCAAUUUGAUAGAGCACCCAAGUCGACUUCCGAGAAAAUCUUCUAAGUUAUAGUAUAUGUUACCCGUACCGUAAACCGACACAGGUGGUCGAGGAGAGUAUCCUAAGGUGCUCGAGUGAAUCACGGUUAAGGAACUAGGCAAAUUAACCCCGUAACUUCGGGAAAAGGGGUCCCUAUGAAAGUAGGGCGCAGCGAAGAGGUCCAGGCGACUGUUUAUCAAAAACACAGGGCUCUGCAAAUUCGAAAGAAGACGUAUAGGGCCUGACACCUGCCCGGUGCUGGAAGGUUAAGAGGGGAUGUCAUCGCAAGAGAAGCAUUGAAUCGAAGCCCCAGUAAACGGCGGCCGUAACUAUAACGGUCCUAAGGUAGCGAAAUUCCUUGUCGGGUAAGUUCCGACCUGCACGAAUGGUGUAACGAUCUGGACACUGUCUCAACCGUGAGCUCGGUGAAAUUGUAGUCCCGGUGAUGAUGCCGGGUACCCGCAACGGGACGAAAAGACCCCGUGAACCUUUACUAUAGCUUAACGCUGAAUUUGGGUACACAAUGUGUAGGAUAGGCCGGAGGCUUUGAAGCGGGCACGCCAGUGUUCGUGGAGCCGACGUUGAAAUACGGCCCUUUGUGUAUUUGAGUUCUAACCCUGCGAAGGGGACACCGUUUGGUGGGUAGUUUGACUGGGGUGGUCGCCUCCAAAAGCGUAACGGAGGCUUCCCAAGGUACCCUCAGCACGAAUGGUAACCGUGCGCGGAGUGCAAUAGCAUAAGGGUGCUUGACUGUGAGACAUACAAGUCGACCAGGUACGAAAGUAGGGUAUAGUGAUCCGGUGGUUCUGCGUGGACUGGCCAUCGCUCAAAGGAUAAAAGGUACUCCGGGGAUAACAGGCUGAUCGCCGCCAAGAGCUCAUAUCGACGCGGCGGUUUGGCACCUCGAUGUCGGCUCGUCACAUCCUGGGGCUGGAGAAGGUCCCAA
rnacentral:rRNA from 1 species